UCCCUGGUAGCUCAGCUGGUAAAGAAUCUGCCUGCAAAGCAGGAGACCCUGGUUCAAUUCCUGAGUUGGGAA
rnacentral:tRNA from 1 species